rnacentral:rRNA from 1 species
GACGAACGCUGGCGGCGUGCUUAACACAUGCAAGUCGAACGGAAAGGCCCCUUCGGGGGUACUCGAGUGGCGAACGGGUGAGUAACACGUGAGUAACCUGCCCUUGACUUCGGGAUAACUUCAGGAAACUGGGGCUAAUACCGGAUAGGAAUCCUUGCUGCAUGGUGGGGGUUGGAAAGCUUCGGCGGUUUUGGAUGGACUCGCGGCUUAUCAGCUUGUUGGUGGGGUAGUGGCUUACCAAGGCUUUGACGGGUAGCCGGCCUGAGAGGGCGACCGGCCACAUUGGGACUGAGAUACGGCCCAGACUCCUACGGGAGGCAACAGUGGGGAAUAUUGCACAAUGGGCGGAAGCCUGAUGCAGCAACGCCGCGUGCGGGAUGACGGCCUUCGGGUUGUAAACCGCUUUCAGCAGGGGCGAAGCUUGUGGUGACGGUACCUGCAGAAGAAGCACCGGCUAACUACGUG